rnacentral:rRNA from 1 species
CACGUAGGCACCAAGCGUUGUCCGGAUUUAUUGGGCGUAAAGAGCUCGUAGGCGGUUCAGUAAGUCGGGUGUGAAAACUCUGGGCUUAACCCAGAGCCGCCACUCGAUACUGCUGUGACUUGAGUUCGGUAGGGGAGUGGGGAAUUCCUGGUGUAGCGGUGAAAUGCGCAGAUAUCAGGAGGAACACCCGUAGCGAAGGCGGCACUCUGGGCCGGAACUGACGCUGAGGAGCGAAAGCGUGGGGAGCAAACAGG